rnacentral:rRNA from 1 species
UACAGAGGGUGCGAGCGUUGUCCGGAAUCACUGGGCGUAAAGGGCGCGUAGGCGGCCUGAUAAGUAGGGGGUGAAAUCCUGGGGCUUAACCUCAGGGCUGCCUUCUAGACUGUCCGGCUCGAGCACAGUAGAGGCAGGUGGAAUUCCCGGUGUAGCGGUGGAAUGCGUAGAGAUCGGGAAGAACAUCGGUGGCGAAGGCGGCCUGCUGGGCUGUUGCUGACGCUGAGGCGCGACAGCGUGGGGAGCAAACAGG